rnacentral:lncRNA from 1 species
UAGCAUAUUCCGUCAAAACUGACGGAAUAUUCCCUGUCUUCUCCGGCGAUUCGCCGGUCGCCGGCGACUGUUCGCCGGUUUCUGGAAAAAUUUCAAACUUGCUAUUCUCCUUCGUUUUUCAUCCAAAUUUUUCGUACCUUAUACCAAAUUGAAGCCCUAAACACCUACUAUCACGUUGGACUAGUUUUAGGGUCUAAAAACAACGAGAUCAUACCUUUCCAAUAAUUCCAAAAUCCGGCCAAACUCGAACCAAGUGAUCCCGACGUCCAUUUUGUUCAAACAAGGCACUCCGAGCCUCCUCGUGACCUCCUUAAGCUCACUAUGAGCUUGGUUUGGCCUAAAACACAACCAAUUCAAAGCUCAUGAACAGUACACAUUCACGGCAACUUUAGAAACUAGGGUUUUCGAAGUGAAACUUACCUUAAACUGGUACCUACGUGAUCGUGGAGUCCUCAGGAGUGCAAUGGUGGUUUUAAAUCCGGCGUUGGUAUUAGUUUUAGGUGGUUUUGAUGGUUGCCCGUGUGUUCGAGAGGGUGAGAGAGAGAGAGUGAGGUCUGAGGAAGAGAGAGAGAGUAUGAAGGACAGUAUACGGGAAAUGGGGAGGGAAAUAAGGAAUGGGGAUCCCACGUGGCCCCUUCUCAGUCCUUAACUAAAAUUAAUAAACCUAAUUCUAAGUUCUUAUCCCACAAGAUAUUUUAAUUAACCAAAAGUUAUGAACUUAGAUUAAAACCAACUUCACACUUACGCACCUUGUCACGUUUAAGGUUAUUUUCGUACUUUCACGUCCUCGGAAUUUAUAAUUCCGGGACGGGCUGUGACAAUCUCCCCUCCUUAUAGAAUUUCGUCCCCGAAAUUCCAGCCACCAACUAAAUUAACCAUACUCCAACAAUAGCUUCGGGUAAAUCUCUCUCAUCCGAUUCUCUUUCUCCCACAUAAUUUUCUACUGAAUGAUUUCCUUCACAAAGCUUUUACCACUUACUCUGUCUUACUUUUCAGGACCUUCUUUUUCAAAUCCAAAGUCGUCCUUGGUUCCUUAUCAAGUCGAAUCCAAUUUAAUUCUCAAUAGUUGCACCAGAAUCUAAUGUGACGAAUCUGCCACCUAGUGACAACGCAUCAAAUCAUAAAAUAUGUUUUGCACCUUAACCAAUUCUGAGGGCAUCACAAGCUUGUAUGCAACUUCAUCGAUUCCUUUAAUGAUCAAAAACCGUCUGAUGUGUUCAAGACUUAUCUUGUCUUCCUUUCUGAAUCUUACUAUUUCUGUUCAUGGUGAAAUUCCAAAAAUAUCAAACCAUUUACCUUACACACUCGAUUAGUGGCAUAUCCAUCUGUUGAUCUCUUUUGCCAUUCCUGGUUACUUCAGGUUAACUUAAUCACCUGAAUACUUUGAGGAGACUCAUCCAUAGUCUCAGGGCCUACUAAAACUCUUUCGUGAUCGAAUCUUUCUCUACCCAGAAACAUUCCAUUCACAAGUCAACAAAAACCGACUCACAUGACACACUUCAUGGUCCUUAUGGCGUUACUUCGGAAACUGCACAACCAACAUACUUAAGAAACUCAGCAGUUCCGUAAACCAAUUCUUCUUUCCAUAAAACAAAUAAGUAUCGUUGCCCUGUCUGGGAAAAAGUUAUUACCCAGCACUGGAGUAAUUGUACUAAUUUGGUACAUUGACCAACUAUCACUUCAAAUUCGAUCAUAACCAUCCUAUGUACAAGGAAACUUGUACACAUAAUCCAAAGUAAUAUCUUUCCAUUUCCACUGCGAAACAGAAAAUAGUUAUCUCAAUCCAAAGGUUUAUCUCUUCUGCCUCAAUCUGCUGAUCAAAUAAAACUGUUGAGUGGUAUGAUAAAUCUUAUUACUUUUGGAAUAUUGCAGAAGUUGAACAGUGAACUUCGUCCAAUAUUUGCUUGCUUCAAAUCCUCAGCAUUAGGCACAUACUUUUUGUUUUCUUGUAUCCACAUACCAUUUGAUUCACGAAUCAUGUACUCAUUCUUUUUCCCUUUUUUCUCUGCCUUGGUUAAUUCUUAAAUUUCCUCAUCAAACAUUUAAGUUUCGAGUACGACCUUACCAAACAGGCCUAACUUGAAAUUUAACAAGUAUAACUUCUUCUCGAUCUUCCAUUCUUAAUUUUUCUUCCGUUGGUUUUCAAUCCACAAGAAGAUAAUCUUGGCAAGCGUACCAAGCAUUAAUUCUUACUGGAGUCUUCUCAUCAAGUGCUUCAGCUAUAACAAUUCACGAUCACCCUGAUCGUACAAUCAUAAUCACUAAGUAAUUCAAUCCACCUUUGUUGCCUCAUAUCAAAAUCCUUCCGAGUAAACAAAUAUUGGAGACUCUUUUGAUUUGUAAAAUCUUGCAUUCUCACUAAAAUAUAAUGUCUCCAUAACUUCACAGCAAGGAUGGUAAUCGUAAUUUCCAAAUCAUAAGUAGGGUAAUUCAUCUCAUGAGGUUCCAUUUGUCGUGAAACAUAUACAAUCACCCUAACAUUUGCAUCAACAUGCCUCCAAUACCAUUCAAGAAACAUCACUAAAAAUUUAUGAUUACCACUAUCUUCUAGGAAUACUAAAAUACGUGUAUGAGUGAGGAAAUACUUCAGUUGUUGAAUCCUUUGCUCACAAUUUUCUUCCCACUCAUACAUAACUCUUUUUCUCAACAGUCUCGUCAAUGACAAAGCAAUGACUGAAAAAUCUUUCACAACCAUCCAAAAUAGCCUGGUAAGCUAAGAAAUUCCGAAUCUCAAUUACAGCUCGUGGUUGUUCCAAUUCCUCAAUUUGCUACCUUUUAAGAAUUCAUUUGAAUACCUUAAGAAUAUAUAACAAUUCUCAGAAUGCCACCUGAUUCAUCUAACUUUAGCAUUUGCUAAACUUAGCAUACAACCAACGUUCCCUCAAACUUUGUAACAUCAACUUAAAAAUAUCUAACAUGCUCUGCUCUAGGCUUAGAGUAUACCAGAAUAUCGUCAAUGAAAAUGAUAUCAAUUUAUCAAGGCAUUCCUGGAAUACUUCAUCCAUCAACUCAUAAAGCAGCAUGAGUAUCCAUAUAGCAUCACCAAACUUCAUAAAGACUAUAACGAGUCCAGAAAACCAUCUUAUGAUCAACGUCACUUAUAAUAUUCAAUUGGUAGUAACCAGAUCUCAAUUCAAUCUUUGAAUCUUCGCAAUUACUUCUGAGCUGGUUAAAUAAACAUCAGUACAUCACCAUGGAUAACGGUUCUCAAUCGUUACCCGACUCCAUUGUCUAUAAUCAAUGGAUAGCCUUAAAAAUCCAUUUUCUUCCUCACCAACGAACUGGGGUUCCCCCAAAGCGUUGUACUAGGUUGAAUAAAACUUUUAUCAACCAAUGCUUUCAACUGAAUUUCCAAUUCCCUUAACUCAUCCUGAACCAAUCUCCAAUAUAAAUUUAUACCUGGUAACAAAUCAAUAAUGAACCUCAUAUAUCUGCCUGAAGACAAUCCAGGUAUACUUUCAGGGAAGACAUCAAGAAAAGUCUAACUCUUUCGACAUUAUUCACACUACUCCGAGCAACAUCAUUUAGCAUCACAUGAGAUAAGUAUUUUUGGGCAGCCUUUCAAAACAAUCUCUUUGCUUUCACAGCAUAAAUAAUGGUUGAACUCACUUCACUUUGCAUGCCCACUCAUUAAGGUAACCUCUGAUCAUCCAGAUCGAUGGAAAGUGACUGGUUUCCCGUAACAAUCCAUCUAGUCACAAUUAUAACCAACCAAUCUAGUGGAAAUAAUUUAACCGACACAAUACAUACUUUAUUAUUACUGAACAUUCUAAAUAAGUACAACACUAACAUAAAAUAAUCUACCGGUUUGCUUGCUUAACGAAUCCACGAAUGAGUUAUUAAUAUUACGGUCUGCAGCCCGCAACACUGAUAAAUCAUCGUUAUCUCGAUAAGUAGGCAACCACUCUCAAAGAUAUAAUAAUACUAUUUUGUCACUCAAUGCAAAAUACAUACACUCGUCUCAACUACAUUUAUUUACUACUCUCUAGGUAAUAACAUACAUAAUAAGAAAUAUAUAUCAGCCGAAGUCAACUAGAAUGACCAAUCGGCUGAAAUCUUAUCUCAAUAAUACGUCGGCUGGAUCCACUCCGCGUGGUCGGUACGGCCGAGCCUAUAACUCACCAAUUUCUCUCAUGCGUCAGCCAGAUCCACCUCUCGUGGCCUGUAUGGCUGAACAUAUAACUAAUCAAAUCUCUCUGUACCCACGGUCAAUCCGACCAAACUACUAAGUCCAUAAACCUGCUGAAUCGAUACUACGAUGUCAUAGAAAACUGUUGGGUACAACUGAUUCUAGGGACGAUUCACAAUUCUGUGUCCCCUCUGUUCACAUAAACACAUUCAUUAAUUUCACACUUCCCAAAGUGUUAAUUUUUGUACCUGCUGCACAAGGUACAUUUCCUUUACUCGAGACACCUUGUCUCAAAUAUCUGGGAUUACCAGUAUAUCCAUCACUUUUACUCUGACCAGCGACAUUAAAACCUCAGCUGGAAGAAUUAACUCUAGCUUCACUUCUUUCGAAGCUCAGAAUCUUUCUAUAUCCUUGAUAUGACGAAUCAUUAACUUUAUUGUCUUCUUUUAAUUCCCAUUCUUUUCUUAUUCCUCUUCACUCUAGCUGAUCAUAUUCUCAGAGUCCUCAAGACUCAACAACAUCUCGUAUAUUCCUGGUAAGAAGUACAAUGGAUAGUGGUCACCCAAAAUACCACUUCCCUUUUUUGCCACCCAGCUUAAAACAACAUAACACCUCCACCAAAUUAACAACAAUAUCUGGAUGGAACGAGGCAAGUCUGAAAACUUUCUAUAAUAUCCCUCGAUUAUCACCUUCCUUGUCUCAUAUUUGUAAACUCUUGUUUACUACCAUCGAUAAAUGCCGGAGGGAUAAACUUUUCCUUAAACAAGUCCUUAAACAAUUCUCAAUCGACUGAUUCCUCAGGUGACAACCAUUAACAAUCCUGUUUCCACCAGGAUACAAAUUCAUACCCAAACCAGGUAGUCGUCUCGACCCCCUGUCAGAAGGAAGAUUCCUUUGACUUGCAUAAUCUGAAACAUCUUUUCCAAAUGGUUAAACCGUUACUUCGCUCCCUCAGGUUCAUCAUUUCAUAAGGUGAUUCAAAUUCGACUCAUAACCCGUCUUAAAAUGUCCAUUUUGAUAAUAUACUGAAUCACCAUAAUAAUAGUUUCCCCUAAACCGCUAAAUCAGGGAGACUAAGUUCCUCUAACUACGUGGUUUGCUACGAGGCGGUGUAGUUCUGACAGAAUUCACUAGAAACUUUUCAAGAUGUCCAAGAUUGCAACCAUGCUCUGAUACCAACUGACACACCCCGUCCCGAAGGAGGGCAUGCUGGCCGUCACGUGAGAGUGACGUAACCAUUUACACAGUACGGAAGCUUUAAAUAUACCAUUUCUAAGAUGAAACACCCAAAGGUGAGACCUAAUUUAAUUUGUCCAUUCUGUCAGAACAACACCGUUGAAUUCCUCGUGGCCACCAAAACUCUGCUAUCAAGAACCUGGAGGGGCGAAAAAACAAAAUUGAGUGGGUCAGUAAAACCAAGCUUUUCAAAAACAUUUCGCCAAAAAUAAUUCUAACCCCUCACUGUAAAACCUGUAUACUCUUCCCAGAAAUGUAAAAUAUCAAUAUGUAAAUAUAUUUCUCAAGACUUCAAUUAACUAUCUCAACAUUAUUCAUUACAAAUAUGCCAUGCCAUGUCUAAAAUCAACGGAAUAGUAUGAAUGCAUCAACAUAAAUCAGGUGGAAGAAAAUAAUCAACCGGAGGCCCUACAAUGGCCCUGUACGGCUGAAUCUAAAAGCUCAAUAUCUCAUUCAGCCGGAGUCACCAACUGUGACCUGUACGGCUCUACACUGCACAUAAGUCGGAACCACCUAAUGUAGUCUGUACGACUUAAUGGUUAAUAUUACGCUCUAGUGCUUUUCUCAUCAAUCAUCUGUGCACAUAAUCUAAGGUCACCCACCCACCAGUCGAACCUCUCUAAAGGUCUGUACGACUGGCCUGUCGGAACCAUCUCCUGUGGUCUGUACGACAGCAUCUACUUGGAUCCAAGGCGAGCGUGCGCGAUGCGGUGAAAUACUAUAAGCACUAAUACCAUGGUGCAGGUUAUGAACUCAAUAUAUCUCAACAUCAUCAUAACAGUAAUAAUACUCACCUGAUACUCACCUGUGCGCGUCCACCGCACCAUUUCACAUAUAUGCAUCAUAUAUCAUUUCAUGCAUGACAUUUCGAUUCACAUUUCUAUAUACUUUUCACAUACUUCUAUGCAUGGCAUUUCAACUAAUAUAUCUCAUGUACUUUUAUACAUUUUCAUUUAAAGCAUAAUUUCAUGCAUUUUCAAUUUCUGGGAAAACGGCAAGUAUAUAUGCUAACAGAAAACAAAACUGCCCACUCACAGAAUACAUCGACGUGUCGAAGGUCCCUGAGCCUCCCUUAGCCAUGCCCAACGUCCGUAUAAUCCUCGCCUAUACGAGAAGUAACCAAAUUGACGUUAUUUAACGCAUAAUCCCACUCUUAGUUAAUAACUCCUCAUAUAUUGCUCAAAUUGGGUAUAUGAAUAUACCACAGUGACCUACACAACCUCAGGAUCAUCCCCAUAUUUUUAAAAUAAUUUUUGGAGGUCUCACGCGCCCCCACGCGCCUGACGUGGCACGGACCUACGCGCCCCCCACGCGCGGCCACGUGCCGUGCACACUGACGGCACAGUAACGGCAGUUAGGGAAUAUUCCGUUAAAUCCUAGCAUAUUCCGUUAAAUAAUUAACGGCGUCAAUCACGUCGUUAGCAUAUUCCGUCAAAACUGACGGAAUAUUCCCUGUCUUCUCCGGCGAUUCGCCGGUCGCCGGCGACUGUUCGCCGGUUUCUGGAAAAAUUUCAAACUUGCUAUUCUCCUUCGUUUUUCAUCCAAAUUUUUCGUACCUUAUACCAAAUUGAAGCCCUAAACACCUACUAUCACGUUGGACUAGUUUUAGGGUCUAAAAACAACGAGAUCAUACCUUUCCAAUAAUUCCAAAAUCCGGCCAAACUCGAACCAAGUGAUCCCGACGUCCAUUUUGUUCAAACAAGGCACUCCGAGCCUCCUCGUGACCUCCUUAAGCUCACUAUGAGCUUGGUUU